ACCGAACCAGGAAGUAAACAAUUGCUAUAAGCUUUAAAAACUACAAAUUUUGCAAAAAUAUGAUCCGAUUCUGUAAGAAACCCAUUAAGAUCUCUGGAAUAACUCAUUAGAAAGACUUUUAUUGGUCUAACAUGAGGCUGAAACUCGUCAAAGGAAGAUUUAAAGAUGCUGUAAACUGAUCUCAAAGCAAAGAUUAAUCCCUGAAAGCGACAUAAAUGUUGAAGAGCCAUGGGAUUAAAAAUAAAAUGUUUAAAAAAGA